AGAUAUUUAUUUCCUUGGAGUAUCUACUAAAUUUAUUAGUAUAAUCUAAACGAUUCAAUAAGAUAAUAUCAAAUAAUAGAAUAUACAGUGCAUUGUUUUUCUCCUCCAAUGACAGUUCACCAUCAAGUUAUAUCAUAAUAAAAUCGUCACUCAAGUUAAUUUGUUCGAGGAGACAAUACUAUGUCCUUGAGACUAUAAAAAUCUAAUUGAAUGUUUAUAGUAUCAAAAAACAAGUUAUAGUAUAAAAAAUGAAAUCGAACUCCCGUGAGCUAAAUAUAACCAACAAUUGCUCCACCAAGAAAUCGAACUCAUGUUAUUUCCUUUGUCCAGAAAAUUAUUAGAAAUUAUCAAUUGAAUAUGAUGAAAUAAGAUUUGGUUUUAAAGUUCCAAUUUGCUGACAUUUUUUAUAUCAAAUGCAAUAAUUGAUGUUGGUAUUUAUACCUUUGCAUCAUAAAUUUUGGGUGCACCCAUUUUCGCAUUGUUACUACCAGCUGCCAAAUAUUAGUAACAUAUACCUUCUUAAAUAUGUACGUAAAAAAUAUAUGAAUUUAAACUUAAGUUUUUAUUCAGAGUUGAAUUUCGGUUUAAAAUCUAUGAACUAUCAAAUUUGACAAUCUGUAUCUUCCCCCAUUUCUUGAUGGUCCCAACUUUCAACCAUUUUGAUAGGAUGGUAUUAUGUUGCAAUAUAUCUCUUUUGAUAUGUACUCUUGUUGAAUUUGUUUUUGUCUAAGUUCCAAAAUGUCGUUUUUAUCUUUUAAUCAAUUUGAAGCUCUUGGAUGCGACAUUUACAUUUUUCUACUUUGAUAUUAAUGAAGUUAUUCUAUUCAUUUUCUUGUGAUAAAAUGCUAAGGAAGAGAAUACAACUCUAAGAGAUAAUGUCAGCUCAUGUGAUUAUAGACAUGCACGAAGAGCCUGCAGGAUUGAAUCCAAGGUUACCCGAGACGAUGAUUUGAGAUCUAUGUAUAAUUCUGUUCCAAAAACUGCAUGACGAGACUGCAUGUUCCAAAAAUUACACAUGGAAGCUCUUGCAGUUUUUGGAACAAAAAUUACAAAGAGAUUCCAAAUCUUCAUCUCGAGUAACCUUGGAUUCAAUCAUACAGGCUCUUCGUGCAUGUCUAAUCAAAUAAGCAAACAUUUUCUGUAAGAGUUGUAUUUUCUUCCUGCACAUAUUAACACAAUAAAAUGAACAAAAUAAAUUCAUUAAUAUAAGAGUAGAAAAAUAUAAAAGCCACUUCCAAGAGCUUCAAAUGGAUUAAAAGAGGAAGACGACAUUAUGGAACUUGGAGAAAGAUUCACAAGAGUACAAAGCCAAAGAGAUAUUGAGAGUUAACAACCCCCUCACCUUAGAUAUUGAGAGCAAUUCCUUCCUUAAAACAACAUAUGUUUAAGAAGAUAGGAAUCCUCUCUACUAUAGCUAUAUCAAUGUCGCCUUUGGUCUCUGGUAUAAAAUUACCACAUAUAAAAAUGGUUGAAAAGAUAAGACUCUCAAGAAAUGGGGUCAAAUCCAGAUUGUCAUCGCAAGCUCAAAUCCAGAGUAAGAGAUAAAUUUGAUAGCUCAUAGAUUUUAAACUAAAGUUUGAAUUUGAAUAAAUACUUAAAUUCAUAGAUUUUUAUGUACAUCAUUAAGGGGGUAUUUGAUACUAAUAAUCAACAGUUGGUAUUAACUGUACAAAAAAAGGGUGCUAGCAAAAUUUAUGAUCAAAGAUUUAAAUACCAACAUUAAUUUCCUUCAAAAAAAAAAUACCAACAUCAAUUAUUGCAGUUCAUAUAAAAAAUGUCAGAAAAUGUGAACUGUAAAACCAAAUCUUAUUUCUUGAUGAAAUAAAUUUAUUGGUGGACUAUAUUUACCUCACAAUCAAACCCCAUGUAAUAAAUAUUUUAAUGAGUGGGUAGCAGAACUUGACCAUGUCGACCAAACGACGGAUGCGAAGGAAGGCGUCUUCAUUGUUAACAUAUUCGUCGUCGAAGUUGAGAGUAGUGAGCGAUAUGCAGCAUCAGGCACAUCUGAAUAGUUCUGGGGAUGGCAAAUUUAUUUGCUUGGGAGAAAAGAGAGUAUAAGAAACAAGGUGUCAUCAAGAAUGGUGCUAAUAAUAUCAGAAUUCUCGAUUAUGUUGUAAAGCUU
rnacentral:lncRNA from 1 species